GCAAGGAAUUUCCCAAGCCAUCAAAUCAGAGGGAAACUUACACAGCAAUCAAAUUCACAAUCACGAAAAUUACUUCCUUUUCAUCACGCUUUUGCCCCGAAUUCAAUGCUCCCACUCCACCACCAACUUCACACACCAACCACCUUUUCCUUCCACGCCUCAAACUACAUACUUGAAAUUCUCGACUUUAGUCCAUUCAGAAAUUAACCCAUAAAACUACCUCCACCAGCACGGCAGCACCAAGUUGAUAAUCACAAAAAGAUUGGAU
rnacentral:lncRNA from 1 species